rnacentral:rRNA from 1 species
AUUGAACGCUGGCGGCAGGCUUAACACAUGCAAGUCGAGCGGAUAUGAGGUGCUUGCACCUUAUCUUAGCGGCGGACGGGUGAGUAAUGCUUAGGAAUCUGCCUAUUAGUGGGGGACAACAUUCCGAAAGGAACGCUAAUACCGCAUACGUCCUACGGGAGAAAGCAGGGGAUCUUCGGACCUUGCGCUAAUAGAUGAGCAUAAGUCGGAUUAGCUAGGUGGUGGGGUAAAGGCCUACCAAGGCGACUAUCCGUAGCGGGUCUGAGAAGAUGAUCCGCCACACUGGGACUGAGACACGGCCCAGACUCCUACGGGAGGCAGCAGUGGGGAAUAUUGGACAAUGGGGGGAACCCUGAUCCAGCCAUGCCGCGUGUGUGAAGAAGGCCUUAUGGUUGUAAAGCACUUUAAGCGAGGAGGAGGCUACUGAGACUAAUACUCUCGGAUAGUGGACGUUACUCGCAGAAUAAGCACCGGCUAACUCUGUGCCAGCCGCCGCCGUAAGAC